rnacentral:lncRNA from 1 species
UAAAUUCAUGCAAACUAUUCCCCCUUAAUUAUAAUUCCCCCUCAAGUAAGGCAUACUUAGAAGGUGCAUACUUAUAAUGUAAAGACAUUCCCCCUUAUUUGAUGCAUAUCGCCUCUUCCCCCUUUUGGCAUUAGCAAAAAGAGAGUAUAUUAAGGCUACUUCCCCCUUUCGACAUUUCCUCAAUGUCAAAAUAAAAUAGGAAAGAUCUUGAGGAAUAUGCAU